UGAGAAGGGAAGCACUGGACAUGCAAGAGAGCUAUGCCAUCUUCUUCCUGCCAUACUGCCACGACUGCAAGAAGGAAAGCCACUCAAGCUGAAAAAGAAGGUGGUGGUUGCGGAGAAGUGUCUGUGAGGAGCUCUCAGCUCUGGAAAGGACUCACUGGUCUGAAAUAGCCCGGGACUGUUGAUCUCCAGGUCAUGCUACAAGAAGCAUCCUUCUGCUCACACUGGUGAUGACUGUGAUGUCUGCAGAAAAAGAAGAAUUUGUGCGAGCUCUGUAACAAGUGAGGGGAGAGUGUGGUCGCCUGCUAUUACAAAAUCCAUAGGAUCUGUGGAAGGGGAACAGUCCUGGGAGAAGACUUCAAGUGAUGCAACUAGAUGGAGUCUGCUCACACCAGAGACCAAGGGGCACAGUCUUCCCAAAUCCUUAAUAAUAUACAUUGAAACUAGACUCGGAAUACUUUAUCUUGACCUUUUACAAAUCUACACCACAACAGCAUAUAAAGGCUUCAUCUCAUGUGGAACUGGGACUUAAUAUUUAGCAAGCCUUUCAUAUAUAAGAUAGAAUUUAACCAUGAAAAAACACAUAUAAUGUAGCAUUUUUGCCAGCAAGAUAUUUUAUCACCUUCUCUUGAAGCUCAGAAUAUAGAAGUGACAAGGUGAAAGGGCAACCGAUAGCCAUCUUUACCGCAGAAUUCUUCAAUGCAAUGAUG
rnacentral:lncRNA from 1 species